AUUGAACGCUGGCGGCAGGCCUAACACAUGCAAGUCGAGCGAGCGGCGGACGGGGGAGUAAUGUAUGGGGACUGCCCGAUAGAGGGGGAUAACUACUGGAAACGGUGGCUAAUACCGCAUACUAUCGGAUAACCCAUAUGGGAUUAGCUAGUAGGGGGGGUAAAGGCUCACCUAGGCGACGAUCUCUAGCUGGUCGGCGAGGAUGAUCAGCCACGCUGGGACUGAUAAACGGCCCAGACUCCUGCGGAGGCAGCAGUGGGGAAUAUUGCACAAUGGGCGCAAGCCUGAUGCAGCCAUGCCGGGUGUAUGAAGAAGGCCUUAGGGUUGUAAAGUACUUUCAGCGGGGAGGCGUUACCCGCAGAAGAAGCACCGGCUAACUCCGUGCCAGCAGCCGCGGUAAUUC
rnacentral:rRNA from 1 species